CUUAGUGGCGGACGGGUGAGUAACGCGUGGGUAACCUGCCCCAUACCGGGGGAUACCACCUGGAAACAGGUGCUAAUACCGCAUAAGCGCACGGGAGCGCAUGCUCCUGUGUGAAGAACUCCGGUGGUAUGGGAUGGACCCGCGUCUGAUUAGCCAGUUGGCAGGGUAACGGCCUACCAAAGCGACGAUCAGUAGCCGGCCUGAGAGGGUGGACGGCCACAUUGGGACUGAGACACGGCCCAAACUCCUACGGAAGGCAGCAG
rnacentral:rRNA from 1 species